rnacentral:tRNA from 1 species
GUAUAUUUUAGUGUAAAAGGAGCAUUGUAGUUUUUGAUAUUAUAGGGAAAGGAUUGUAUCUUUUAAAUAUA